GCAUCGGUAGUUCAAUGGCGAGAAUGCUCGCCUGCCACGCGGGGUUCGAUUCCCGGCCGAUGCA